AGUUGGUACCAGUAGUGCUCCUACAAGCAAGCACUUGCUUUUUUCACUCUCUCUCUCUCGUCUGUGACUACCCCUCCAGGUGAGCCUGCCGAAGGAUCUGAAGGACAUGAGGAGAGCUGAGCCAUCCUGGACAGGCCAUCGCACUAGCCAGCCCCAACCAUUCUGCCAGCUGCAAGCACAAGCCCAGAACGUUAGCUCCAUGGGAGCAGGAGCUUUGUUUAAUUUACCUUGUAUCUCAGCACCUAGAAGAAUGCCUGGUACAUGGCAGACAUUCAGACAUAUGUAUACCCAAGGACAUAUACCAAACAGAAUAGUGUUAUAUCUCUGGGGCAGAAAGAAAUGAGGAUGAAAGAAGAAAGAGAAAAAUUAUCAACGAACACCGAAGCAGCUCUUACA